UACGAAGAGGCCCCAAGCGUUACUGAGAAUCACUGGGUUUAAAGGGUGCGUAGGUGGCGCGUUAAGUCGUUGUGAAAUCCUGGCUCAACCCAGGAAUUGCUUCGAAUACUGGCGUGCUUGAGGCUAGUAGGGGUCACUGGAACUGACGGUGGAGCGGUGAAAUGACGCAGAUAUCAGGAGGAACACCGGUGGCGAAGGCGGGUCUCUGGGCCGAUACUGACGCUGAGGAGCGAAAGCGUGGGGAGCGAACAGG
rnacentral:rRNA from 1 species